GACGAAGGUGGCUAGCGUUGUUCGGUGUCACUGGGCUUAAAGAGUGUGUAGGCGGAAAAGUAAGCGUCCUGUGAAAGCCCCCGGCUUAACCGGGGAACCGCUCGACGAACUGCUUUUCUUGAGGCAAGUAGGGGUGCACGGAACUCUUGGUGGAGCGGUGGAAUGCGUAGAUAUCAAGAGGAACGCCAGCGGUGAAAACGGUGCACUGGGCUUGUCCUGACGCUGAGACACGAAAGCGUGGGGAGCGAACGGGAUUAGAUACCCCAGUA
rnacentral:rRNA from 1 species